rnacentral:rRNA from 1 species
CGCGUAGGCGGCUUCUUAAGCGUGCGGUGAAAGCUCGGGGCUCAACUCCGAGUCGGCCGUGCGAACUGGGGAGCUGGAGCACAGUAGAGGCAGAUGGAAUUCCGGGUGUAGCGGUGGAAUGCGUAGAGAUCCGGAAGAACACCGGUGGCGAAGGCGGUCUGCUGGGCUGUGGCUGACGCUGAGGCGCGACAGCGUGGGGAGCAAACA